rnacentral:rRNA from 1 species
UGGGGAAUAUUGCACAAUGGGCGCAAGCCUGAUGCAGCAACGCCGCGUGAGGGAUGACGGCCUUCGGGUUGUAAACCUCUUUUAGUAGGGAAGAAGCGAAAGUGACGGUACCUGCAGAAAAAGCACCGGCUAACUACGUGCCAGCAGCCGCGGUAAUACGUAGGGUGCGAGCGUUGUCCGGAAUUAUUGGGCGUAAAGAGCUCGUAGGCGGUCUGUCGCGUCUGCUGUGAAAACCCGAGGCUCAACCUCGGGCCUGCAGUGGGUACGGGCAGACUAGAGUGCGGUAGGGGAGAAUGGAAUUCCUGGUGUAGCGGUGGAAUGCGCAGAUAUCAGGAGGAACACCGAUGGCGAAGGCAGUUCUCUGGGCCGUAACUGACACUGAGGAGCGAAAAGCGUGGGGAGCGAACAGGAUUAGAUACCCUGGUAGUCCACGCCGUAAACGUUGGGCGCUAGAUGUGGGGACCAUUCCACGGUUUCCGUGUCGCAGCUAACGCAUUAAGCGCCCCGCCUGGGGAGUACGGCCGCAAGGCUAAAACUCAAAGGAAUUGACGGGGUCAUAGCUG